rnacentral:rRNA from 1 species
UAAGGAAUAUUGGGCAAUGGAGGCAACUCUGAACCAGCCAAGUCGCGUGAAGGAAGAAGGUUCUAUGGAUUGUAAACUUCUUUUGCAGGGGAAUAAAGGACGGUACGUGUACUGUUUUGUAUGUACCUUGCGAAUAAGGAUCGGCUAACUCCGUGCCAGCAGCCGCGGUAAUACGGAGGAUCCGAGCGUUAUCCGGAUUUAUUGGGUUUAAAGGGUGCGUAGGUGUAUUGUUAAGUCAGUGGUGAAAGUUUUCAGCUAAACUGAAAAAUUGCCGUUGAAACUGUCGAUCUUGAGUGCAAAUGAGGUAGGCGGAAUGUGUUGGGUAGCGGUGAAAUGCUUAGAUAUAACACAGAACUCCGAUUGCGAAGGCAGCUUACUGGGAUGCAACUGACACUGAUGCACGAAAGCGUGGGUAUCAAACA